rnacentral:rRNA from 1 species
CAAUAGCGUAUAUUUAAGUUGUUGCAGUUAAAAAGCUCGUAGUUGGAUUUCGGUUAAGAGCGACCGGUCCGCCGUUUGGUGUGCACUGGUUGGUUUUAACUUCCUGUAGAGGACGUGCUCUGGGUUUAACGACCUGGACUCGGAGUCUACGUGGUUACUUUGAAAAAAUUAGAGUGUUCAAGGCGGGCUUACGCUUGAAUAUUUCAGCAUGGAAUAACACUAUAGGACUCCUGUCCUAUUUCGUUGGUCUCGGGACGGGAGUAAUGAUUAAGAGGAACAGUUGGGGGCAUUCGUAUUUCAUUGUCAGAGGUGAAAUUCUUGGAUUUAUGAAAGACGAACUUCUGCGAAAGCAUUUGCCAAGGAUGUUUNCAUUAA